CUGGCGGCGUGCCUAAUACAUGCAAGUCGAACGGCUUUUCUAUGGAAGCUUGCUUCCACUGAGAAGAUAGUGGCGAACGGGUGAGUAACACGUGGGUAACCUGCCCAUAAGAGGGGGAUAACAUCCGGAAACGGGUGCUAAUACCGCAUAGUUUUCUUGAUCGCAUGAUCGGGAAAGGAAAGACGGCCUUUGUGCUGUCGCUUAUGGAUGGACCCGCGGCGUAUUAGUUAGUUGGUGAGGUAACGGCUCACCAAGACGAUGAUACGUAGCCGACCUGAGAGGGUGAUCGGCCACAUUGGGACUGAGACACGGCCCAAACUCCUACGGGAGGCAGCAGUAGGGAAUCUUCCGCAAUGGACGAAAGUCUGACGGAGCAACGCCGCGUGAGUGAAAGAAGGUUUUCGGAUCGUAAAACUCUGUUGUCAGAGAAGAACAAGUUGGAGAGUAACUGCUCCAGCCUUGACGGUAUCUGACCAGAAAGCCACGGCUAACUACGUGCCAGCCGCCGC
rnacentral:rRNA from 1 species